rnacentral:lncRNA from 1 species
CCUUCCCAUCUGGGGUCUCCCUGGCUCAUGAGUCUUAGGGGGCCUUCCAGCCCUCCUCAACAGUGUGUGAGCCAGUCCUCUGGCUUGGCCAGGCAGAGGUUCUUGCCCAGGACUCUGGAUCUUGGGCAAGUGCUAUGGAGAUGGGGCAGGGAGAAUUCACCUGGGAGGAGCUGGGUCCUGCCCUGCACCUUCCUGCACUGGUGGUGAUGGGACUACCACCUGCAUGCCCCGACCCCAGCUCCAGGCCAUUCUCCAGGCUGCCACCGUUCUUCUAGUACAUUCCUUUCCUGCUUGGGAUGGCCAGAUCCCAUUUCGGCUGCCGGCACAUGAGAGCCCUGAGGGACCUGCAGGGCCUACUGGCUCUUGGCCCCUUCUUCCUUUUCAAAGUGGACAUUCUGAUGUGUUUGCCCCGUAGGCAUUUUUACAGAAGGAACCAGCAUUUCCACAACUGUGGCUUCUCCUGGUCACACCGUUGGUGCUCCUGGCGUCUCCUCUGCCCCGAGCUC